rnacentral:rRNA from 1 species
CUACGGGUGGCUGCAGUGAGGAAUAUUGGUCAAUGGGCGCGAGCCUGAACCAGCCAUCCCGCGUGCAGGAUGACGGCCCUAUGGGUUGUAAACUGCUUUUCUAUGCCAAGAAACCCUGUUACGAGUAACAGGUUGCCGGUAGCAUAGGAAUAAGCAUCGGCUAACUCCGUGCCAGCAGCCGCGGUAAUACGGAGGAUGCAAGCGUUAUCCGGAUUCAUUGGGUUUAAAGGGUGCGCAGGUGGGCUUGUAAGUCAGUGGUGAAAUGCUGCCGCUUAACGGUAGAACUGCCAUUGAUACUGCGAGUCUUGAGUAUGGUUGAGGUAGGCGGAAUGUGUUGUGUAGCGGUGAAAUGCAUAGAUAUGACACAGAACGCCAAUUGCGAAGGCAGCUUACUAAGCCAUUACUGACGCUGAGGCACGAAAGCGUGGGGAGCGAACAGGAUUAGAUACCCGCGUAGUC